AUGAACGCUGGCGGCGUGCCUAAUACAUGCAAGUCGAGCGCACAGAUGAGGAGCUUGCUCCUCUGACGUUAGCGGCGGACGGGUGAGUAACACGUGGAUAACCUACCUAUAAGACUGGGAUAACUUCGGGAAACCGGAGCUAAUACCGGAUAAUAUAUUGAACCGCAUGGUUCAAUAGUGAAAGACGGUUUUGCUGUCACUUAUAGAUGGAUCCGCGCCGCAUUAGCUAGUUGGUAAGGUAACGGCUUACCAAGGCAACGAUGCGUAGCCGGCCUGAGAGGGUGAUCGGCCACACUGGAACUGAGACACGGUCCAGACUCCUACGGGAGGCAGCAGUAGGGAAUCUUCCGCAAUGGGCGAAAGCCUGACGGAGCAACGCCGCGUGAGUGAUGAAGGUCUUCGGAUCGUAAAACUCUGUUAUUAGGGAAGAACAAAUGUGUAAGUAACUAUGCACGUCUUGACGGUACCUAAUCAGAAAGCCACGGCUAACUACGUG
rnacentral:rRNA from 1 species